UACGGGAGGCAGCAGUGGGGAAUAUUGCACAAUGGGCGCAAGCCUGAUGCAGCCAUGCCGCGUGUAUGAAAAAGGCCUUCGGGUUGUAAAGUACUUUCAGUCGUGAGGAAGGUGUUAAGGUUAAUAACCUUAGCAAUUGACGUUAGCGACAGAAGAAGCACCGGCUAACUCCGUGCCAGCAGCCGCGGUAAUACGGAGGGUGCGAGCGUUAAUCGGAAUUACUGGGCGUAAAGGGCACGCAGGCGGUUAAUUAAGUUGGAUGUGAAAUCCCCGGGCUUAACCUGGGAAUGGCAUUCAAGACUGGUUAGCUAGAGUCUUGUAGAGGGGGUAGAAUUCCAUGUGUAGCGGUGAAAUGCGUAGAGAUGUGGAGGAAUACCGGUGGCGAAGGCGGCCCCUGGACAAAGACUGACGCUCAUGUGCGAAAGCGUGGGGAGCAAAACGAGGGAUUAGAUACC
rnacentral:rRNA from 1 species